rnacentral:lncRNA from 1 species
UCUCAAUCAGUCUUGACUUUAUAAACUCUGGGACGGUAUUCUUAACCAAUCCGAACCUGGCACAUCUUUUCUAAAUUAGACUUUUUUUGGCACUCCAAUCUUUGGGUCUUCUCCGUCUCCUAUAGGAUGAAAGCUGCUCCUUAUUUAUUUUCCAUAGAAAAAUCAAAGUUAGCUUCUUGACUGGGUCUAUGCAUUACCGGAUUUUCCACAAGGUAGACAAUGAGCGAUGCUUUAACUCUAAAACAUUGGGACUUCAUCUUAACCAAUCCGAGCAUGGCAGAUAUUUCCUAAAUUGGACUUCUUUUGGCACUCCAUUCUUGAG